AGCGAACGCUGGCGGCAGGCCUAACACAUGCAAGUCGAACGGAUCCUUCGGGAUUAGUGGCGGACGGGUGAGUAACACGUGGGAACGUGCCCUUUGGUUCGGAACAACUCAGGGAAACUUGGGCUAAUACCGGAUGUGCCCUUCGGGGGACAGAUUUAUCGCCAUUGGAGCGGCCCGCGUCUGAUUAGCUAGUUGGUGAGGUAAAGGCUCACCAAGGCGACGAUCAGUAGCUGGUCUGAGAGGAUGAUCAGCCACAUUGGGACUGAGACACGGCCCAAACUCCUACGGGAGGCAGCAGUGGGGAAUCUUGCGCAAUGGGCGAAAGCCUGACGCGGCCAUGCCGCGUGAAUGAUGAAGGUCUUAGGAUUGUAAAAUUCUUUCACCGGGGACGAUAAUGACGGUACCCGGAGAAGAAGCCCCGGCUAACUUCGUGCCAGCAGCCGCGGUAACAC
rnacentral:rRNA from 1 species